rnacentral:rRNA from 1 species
GUAGGUGGCAAGCGUUGUCCGGAAUUAUUGGGCGUAAAGCGCGCGCAGGGCGGUCCUUUAAGUCUGAUGUGAAAGCCCACGGCUCAACCGUGGAGGGUCAUUGGAAACUGGGGGACUUGAGUACAGAAGAGGAAAGCGGAAUUCCAAGUGUAGCGGUGAAAUGCGUAGAGAUUUGGAGGAACACCAGUGGCGAAGGCGGCUUUCUGGUCUGUAACUGACGCUGAGGCGCGAAAGCGUGGGGAGCAAACAGGAUUAGAUACCCUGGUAGUCCACGCCGUAAACGAUGAGUGCUAAGUGUUAGGGGGUUUCCGCCCCUUAGUGCUGCAGCUAACGCAUUAAGCACUCCGCCUGGGGAGUACGGCCGCAAAGGCUG